AUACCGUGUCAAGGAAGGGGGCAAAUCAGAAGUCGGGUGUCCAGGUGGAUGGAGCACACCACAUCAUUUCAGAAUCUGUGGCAUGUCUUCCAAAUUUUCUGAAGGAAAUGAAUGCAGAGAGUGUCUGUGUAUGUUCCAGAACAUCGGACUCUUCGGGAGAGUCACAAAGCCCUGUCUUCUCAUUGAAUCAGUGCAAAAAAUCUGAAAGACAAGGACUGAAGAUCCCCAGGAAGCAGCAAAGUGGACACAUGGGCUUGAGACAAGCCUCUUCCCUCAGGCCCAUGACAACAACACUGUUCGAGAAACACAUAUGAAGAUUUGAAACACUAAAGACAGGCCAGGCAGUUAAGUCAUUGGGAAGAAUCAAGGGAGACAGGGGGUUCAUAUGUCUGGAGACUGCACAGAAAUCAGCAAGCCAUGUGCCUAGACUGUGAUGGUAUGCAGACAAAUGUGUAUAGUCAAAAAUCUGGCGCUGUGCUCUACCCCGAGCUUUCCAGAAUUCAGACGAUCAGCUGAUCUCUCCAUCUCCAAGCUCCUGUUCUCUGGGAAUGCUAACACCAGAACUUGAGUCACUCAAGGACAAAGGCUUGAGCAUCUGAACCCUGAAGGGUGACACACACAGAACAUCAUCUCCUCUGUUGCUACCCCAAUCACGGCUGUGGUGGUUUUCCAGGGGAAACAGACUCUCGGGUGACAGGUAGAGUCUGAAACCUCUCCCCAGAUGCAGGUACAGCUGCCCUCCCCAAGCUUCUUAGUCUGAGAAACAACAGGACAGGAGAACAAACGAGCCCUCCAUGGAGGCAAUGGCAGUGCAGUGGAAAGCUAGCAAUUGUCCCUGCCUGCGGGGUUUUCUUUCUUUCUUUCUUUCUUUCUUUUUUUUUGCUAGCAGCCAGCCUGGCUAAGGGUCAUUAGCUUAAUGAGCUAUUGUAUUUUUUUCCCUUUCUCUCCGAAGAGUCUGCUGAAACAUCCUCCCAGGAGCCAAAUGAGGAGGCCAAGAAAUAAACAGCAGCUGAUGGCUGAGGGAGCUUAGCCAGAGAGGCCUGGGAGCUCAGGAUGCCUGUGCGGUGGGUGUGCACACCUGCAUUGCAUGCAUGUGCGUGGUUGCGAAUGCAUAUGUGUGUGGAGAGGAGGGGGAAUGUGUGUUUGCUGGCGAGGUACAGGCAACGGUGGACGGACAGGCCUCCGAAGAAGUUUCUGGAAAUGCGUAGGUCAGUGGGCCGCUCUGGCUUUGGAGAAACUAAGCCCGGAGGGAAGACGAGAAGUUACUUCCCGACCAAAUUGAUCAGAAGUUAUAGCUCACUCCAUGAUCCCAUAAGGGAGCGCCACAUAACACACAGGGACAAUGCCUUAGAUAAAUUCGUUUGAAAGUGAGUAACUCUCUACGUGGCACACAGUAGGUCCCGGGUUCACAUCUACUAGAAGAAGAAUGAGCUGCCUCAGUGCCAGAAAAAGCCCAAAGAGACAAGCUUGAUGCUGCCCUUGGCCCCAUCCUGAUCCCUUCCCUUACCAUCUUCAGCUAAGGAGGCCUCAUCUCCCUGGGGGAGAGUCUACUGUGAUACUCUUCAUGAUCUGGGAUUAACAGACUCACUACUAAUGAAGGCUCAUUGCUUAUUACUGAUUACUAAUACUGCAGGAUCGAUGUUAGAAUUUGAGAAAGGGGCAGAGAGAAUGGAAAAAACACAGCACCUGACCAUUUCAGCCCUGCUAUAUAUAAAAACCGCACGCUCACCACAGACAUGGCUCCAGAGGUUUCGGGCCUCGCAUAGCACUGAAGCAGUAAAUCUCCACCGUGUCACUGAGAGGGACCAACCCUCUCUACUGCACAGGCAGCCUGACGGCUCUGUCUUUUCCUCUGAUGGUGAACCUGGUGCUCAGCCAGUGUAGGCUUCCCCCAGCUAGUGACCAUCUCUGCUGCCUUGUACAUGUCUUUGGCAACACGGCUGUUUCAUGGUUACUGACUACAGGGGAAAGAAUUCUGUAUUGGCUGAAGUGCACGUACUUUCUGAAGAUGUGCACGCACCCGCACUCCAUUGCUUUUCGGAAAAUCAUGUCACUUUAUCCCUUCUGAAAUGUGUUGAAGACCCGGCUCCAGCCUGAACAAGGGAAGCAGAGGUUUGCGCUCUCUAGGGACACUUCUUGGGCCAACCUCAGGGUCUAGUGACCGACCUGCUUGCUCCACUCUCCUCUCAGACCAGCUGAGGCAGCCACAGGCACAGUGCUUUAUGGACGGCGUGCAAGCCUGUGUUCUUUCUCUUGGAAGGUGCCGCCGGGCCACACAGCCAUGGGCAGAGACUAUUGUCCCUUCACAGGGAGGACAGCGAAGAACAGAAGGAUCUUUUCUCAGAUGUCCAGUUUUACCAUGUGCGGCAUGAUGGAUGCAUGUGCCAGCUCAAACCUAGAAGUGCAAUUUGGAUAUUUGGUUUUCAUACCUCUGCACAAAAGAACCACGUGGGGGAUAAAUGCUCAUGGGUUGCUCUAUGCUCCAGAUUCUUCUGCCAGGAUCAACAGGCAUCACAGUGCUGUUCUAGAGUAUUUCAGAUGUCUGAUCUUGAAAGACUUGAAAAGUUUUGCUGUGGUUCUUAGCAGCGUGUACUGAGCUGAUCUGAUUUGAUAGCUGGGUUGUCAAUUUACUUUCUGACUGAGGAACUUAACAGAUUUGGCCCACAUCCCUGUGCUUCUGCCUGCAAAGGUGACCUGGGAACCUCGUUCUUCCGCAAGGUCCACAUUGGCAGUCCCAUCGCACUGUUGAGAGACCAAGUCCCAUACCCAAGUCUUACACUCAACUAGGAUUUCAACACCACCUCAUCCAAGACAGAAAAAGAGGCAUGUAUUCUACUUUUUAAUUUCCCCAAUGCAAAAUCUACAUAGAUUCUUCCACAUAGUAGCGCCAAGAAUGGCUCCCCAGCAUAUGAAAUGGGUACUCAGUGGCGACCCUUUGAAAGCACAGAAUCCAAAUUGUCUUUGAAAAACAAGUAAAACAGUCAUCAAAUCAGCCAUUAAGCCGAAAACUAAAAAUCUGGGCAGCCCAUCUUAUGGCAAGCACUCUCCCAUUACAGCGCCAACCCAGAGCUUCCGAGCCCUGCCUGAGCGACUAAACAGCUCAUCGACUUCCCUGCCACACCCCCAAUAUCAUCAGAGUUCCAUUAUCCUGUGAGUGAUGGCUGGUGGGAAGGCCAUAGCUACAGCGUGAGAACCGUGUUGGUGAUAUUUAUGCUUCUGUGUAAGGGGGAGAUUUUAAAAAGAGAGAGAGAGAGAGAGAAAAUUCAUCUUGGACUCCCUGGCACUCCAGUAGAAGCCAGGCAGGCCCCUGCUGCUGUGUCAUACAUUAUGUAUUGUGGAAUUGCUUGUGGCAGCAUCCGCCGUGUGCUGCCCACAGCACUCCCUCUUCUCAUGGAAGCCAGGUCCAGCAUGGGGCUCACAUGUGCCUGCUCUGGAAGAGAGAGAGCACUAGAGGGAAGCAGACACAGCAGCAGUGCUGUGAGGGCCAUUUCUCCUCUGUGGUUAGAUGAGCAUGCACUUUAUACCCGUCCAGUUUCGGUGGGUCAUGCCAGCCUGGGGCAGUGUGGUUUCUACAGAGCACAGGACAGGAGACAAGGAGUGAGACGACGACGAAGCUCUGCGAAAUUCAGCAAGGUCUUUGAGUUCAUUGCCCCUGACUUGGGAGGCAUUUAUAGGGCUGGAAUAGCGUCUGGGCUCAUGGCCCCUUAGAGGCAAGAUACAGAGCUGACACCUAGACCUGCCCACUGGAUAGUAUGAGGCACCUAUCAGACAUUUGCCAGAAAUGGAUUGAUCAGGGAAUGUAUUCACCUAUGAUGAAUGAAGGAAAGAGAAAGCCAGCUCAACCUUAAAAGAACAGAGUGCUCUGGGGCUGGUGAGCCCUGCCCAGCAUCACUAGCUCUGAAGAACCAAGGCAACAAGAGUGAGUCCACAUGCUGCCAACUCCACAUUGACCACAGCUUUUAUUGUGUCCUCUACAUCUCCAACAAGGGAGCAUGGCCUAAUUCUUACAGUCACAGGCAAAGAUGACAGUCACUUCCACAGAGUCUAGUAUUCAGUCACUGGAAAGAGUAUUGAUGAUAUUCUACCUACUGAAAGGCCAGAGGCAUGUAAACUUAAGAGUAUGUUACUGCUAAUGUGUUCAGAUUUCUUAUGUUACUUUGAGGUGUCAUUUGUAGCCUGUUUUCAAAUGUUAACCUUCUUGAGAGCAUUUUGUAAAAACACAGAAGAACUGUGAUCCCUCCCCCACGGGUCUGUCAUUAAAUGAAGAAAAUUAAAAGCUGUAGCAAAUGCAAUGGCAGUGGACCUAUAACGAGCUUUGAAGGCUACUGGGGAUAGUCUCUGGCUCAUGCCAUAACAUCUGCAGUGACAUCUGAAUGACAUUUGUCCUUGUGUGUUUGAGCACUUGGUCCCCAGCUGGUGGUGCUAUGGGGGAAGGUCUUCACUGAGGAUGGGCUUUGAGGGAUGAUAGCCUGGCCCCACUUCCUAUUCUCUUGCUCCGCUUCCUGUGUGCAGAUGAAAUGUGACCACCCUGCUUCCUGCUCCUACACCACCAUGCACAAUGGAUUCCAUAGGACAUAAGCCAAAGUAAACCCCUUCCUUCUUCCUUAAGUUGCUUUUGUUGGGGUAUUCUAUCACAGCCACAGAAAUGCAACCAGUGCUUUAAUAACUUACAUGCCUCCGCACCCCAUUAAUGAGUAACUGAAAACCUCAGAGAGAAAGAUUAGAGGUGUCAGUCAGGUUCAAAGGAAACUCUAAUUCCCCAGGCCCCCAAAGGCUACCCAAAUAUCCAGAAAUGAGCUCCAACUGAACUAUAGCAGCAUUUCUGGCAGUUGGACAAAAGCCAGCAUUCCUUAGGGACUUGUGAAACUGGUUCCCAUCUACCCAGAAUGAGAAAUUUCCCUUAACCUCUGGCAGAGGGCCCUAUAGCUACCUGUGGCACCUAUUAGCAUAUCAAAGCCCAUGCUGGCUUCCAUGCUGGUCCCUCAGCAUCAUAAGCAUCUAUUACACAUUUCUUGUCCACAUCCUGGCUCUUCUCACCUCUUCCCCUACCCUUAACUCCUUCCAGAUCGUGAGUUUCCUUCCCUACCCCAGCUACUUAUCCUCCUCAUAACCCUGCUAUUCUCACUAUGUUCUCUCUCUGCUCUGCUCUGCUCCUGCUUCCCUCCCCGUGUUUUCAUUAUUCCUUAUCCUUGCUCUUCUCCCCUCUCUCAUGGAUAGCCCUGGCCAUGUCUGGUUUGCUGGCCAUGUUCAGUCUACUUCUUUCUCUCUCUACUCUGGACUCUUCUAGAUUUCAAUGCCCUCCAUAUCUCUAAUAAAAACUUUCCCCUUAACCAUGCCGUGGAGCAGUCACGUCAUCAGUUUAUACAAAAGGCAAAGUCCUUGUUGUUCUUCCUGUUGCUGUGAGUGAACACCUGACAACCCAGCUUGAGGGAGGAAGGGUUUACUUUGGGUCACAGUUUGAGAGUGCAGGCCAGCUCUGAAGGGAAGACACAGAAGCAGGUGAGUGAGCAGCUGUCACGUCACAUCACAGCCAGGAAGCAGGGAGCGAUGGAUGUUGGUGCUCAGCUCUCUCCUUUUUAUUUAGUCCAGAAACCAAGCCCAUGGGGUAGUAUUGCCCACCCUCAGGGUGGGUCUUUCUUGCCCAGUUGAACCUUUCUGGAGAUACACUCAUGGGACACACUAAGAGGUGUGUUUUCACACUGAAUCUAAGUCCUAUCAAGCUGACAUUCAAGACUAGCCAUUAAAGGAAAUCAUAAAGGAAGAAGGAAGAAAUGGAAAACAAGUACUUAUUACUUAGUUCUACAGACCACAAACAUCCCAU